rnacentral:rRNA from 1 species
GAAAAGUGUAACAAGGUUUCCGUAGGUGAACCUGCGGAAGGAUCAUUA